GACUGCUGUUUGACAAACAAAAGUAAUCUCGCUCUUUUGUCCAUAAUAAUAAUAAUAAUAAUAAUCUCAUCCGGUAGGCUACAGGUGCACUCUAGUCAACAGUGUGCCGGUAGCGGUGUGCGCACUUGCAAAUACCAGAGCGGGCACACUUACCAUAUAAGGCAAAAAAAAGAAUUGUGCGCAAAACCAUCAGUAGUGUUGAAAAUACAAAAGGUAUUUUAUGUGCACUACCUCACCACACCACAGCGUUUUAUCUGAAAACCAUCAGUAGUGUUGAAAAUACAAAAGGUAUUUUAUGUGUACUACCUCACCACACCACAGCGUUUUAUCUGAAAACCAUCAGUAGUGUUGCAAAUACAAAAGGUAUUUUAUGUGCACUACCUCACCACACCACAGCGUUUUAUCUGAAAACCAUCAGUAGUGUUGAAAAUACAAAAGGUAUUUUAUGUGCACUACCUCACCACACCACAGCGUUUUAUCUGAAAACCAUCAGUAGUGUUGAAAAUACAAAAGGUAUUUUAUGUGCACUACCUCACCACACCACAGCGUUUUAUCUGAAAACCAUCAGUAGUGUUGAAAAUACAAAAGGUAUUUUAUGUGCACUACCUCACCACACCACAGCGUUUUAUCUGAAAACCAUCAGUAGUGUUGAAAAUACAAAAGGUAUUUUAUGUGCACUACCUCACCACACCACAGCGUUUUAUCUGAAAACCAUCAGUAGUGUUGAAAAUACAAAAGGUAUUUUAUGUGCACUACCUCACCACACCACAGCGUUUUAUCUG